CCCAGCAAUGGGCAACCGGCGAACGGGUGCGUAGCACGUGAGCAACCUACCGAACUGUGGGGGAUAGCCGGCCUAACGGCCGAGUAAUACCGCAUACGCUUUCGAUGAGGCAUUUCAUUGAAAGGAAACCUACGGGACAGAUCGAGGGGCUCGCGGCCUAUCAGCUAGUUGGCGAGGUAACGGCUCACCAAGGCGACGACGGGUAGCUGGUCUGAGAGGGUGUCCGGCCACACUGGGACUGAGAUACGGCCCAGACUCCUACGGGAGGCAGCAGUGGGGAAUAUUGCACAAUGGGCGCAAGCCUGAUGCAGCGACGCCGCGUGGGGGAUGACGGCCUUCGGG
rnacentral:rRNA from 1 species